rnacentral:rRNA from 1 species
AUUGAACGCUGGCGGCAUGCGUAACACAUGCAAGUUGUACGAAGAUGUAUAAUUUUUAUACAAACUUAGUAGCGGACGGGUGAGUAAUACAUAAGAACCUACCCUUUGGUAUGGGAUAACUAUUGGAAACGAUAGCUAAUACCAUAUAUUGCUGAGAAGUGAAACUAUUAAGGGCCAAGAGAUGGGCUUAUGCCUGAUUAGCUAGUUGGUAUGAGAAUAGCAUACCAAGGCAAAGAUCAGUAGCUGUUCUGAGAGGAUGAUCAGCCACACUGGGACUGAGACACGGCCCAGACUCCUACGGGAGGCAGCAGUGAGGAAUUUUCCGCAAUGGGCGAAAGCCUGACGGAGCAAUGCCGCGUGAAGGAAGACAGCUUACGGGUUGUAAACUUCUUUUCUCAGAAAAGAAAAAAAUGACGGUAUCUGAGGAAUAAGCAUCGGCUAACUCUGUGCCAGCAGCCGCCGUAAAAC